CCUACGGGAGGCAGCAGUGGGGAAUAUUGGGCAAUGGACGCAAGUCUGACCCAGCAACGCCGCGUGAAGGAAGAAGGCUUUCGGGUUGUAAACUUCUUUUAUCAGGGAAGAGCUCAAGACGGUACCUGAUGAAUAAGCCACGGCUAACUACGUGCCAGCAGCCGCGGUAAUA
rnacentral:rRNA from 1 species